GAAAUAAACCUGAUGGGUUGUUGCUGGUUCUCUAGGGAGCAUGUGCACGCCUUGUCAUCUUUAUAUCUCCACCUGUGCACCUUUUGUAGACCUUCCAGGUCUAUGUUGCUUCAUUUACCCCAAUGUAUGUUAAUAGAAUGUUGUGAUUAUAAAAAUAUAUACAACUUUCAGCAACGGAUCUCUUGGCUCU
rnacentral:misc_RNA from 1 species